UACGUAGGGUGCAAGCGUUGUCCGGAAUUAUUGGGCGUAAAGAGCGUGUAGGCGGCCCGAUAAGUCCGCUGUGAAAGUCCAGGGCUCAACCCUGGAAUGCCGGUGGAUACUGUCGGGCUCGAAUCCGGAAGAGGGGAGUGGAAUUCCUGGUGUAGCGGUGAAAUGCGCAGAUAUCAGGAGGAACACCAAUGGCGAAGGCAGCUCACUGGGACGGUAUUGACGCUGAGACGCGAAAGCGUGGGGAGCAAACAGG
rnacentral:rRNA from 1 species